rnacentral:rRNA from 1 species
AGAGUUUGAUCCUGGCUCAGGAUGAACGCUGGCGGCGUGCUUAACACAUGCAAGUCGAACGAAGCACUUUAGAAUGCUUGCAUUUUAAAGUGACUGAGUGGCGGACGGGUGAGUAACGCGUGGGUAACCUACCUCAUACAGGGGGAUAACAGUUAGAAAUGACUGCUAAUACCGCAUAAGCCUCCGAUAUCGCAUGAUAAAGAAGGAAAAGUUUUUCGGUAUGAGAUGGGCCCGCGUCUGAUUAGCUAGUUGGUGGGGUAAAGGCCUACCAAGGCGACGAUCAGUAGCCGGCUUGAGAGAGUGAACGGCCACAUUGGAACUGAGACACGGUCCAAACUCCUACGGGAGGCAGCAGUGGGGAAUAUUGCACAAUGGGGGAAACCCUGAUGCAGCGACGCCGCGUGAGUGAAGAAGUAUUUCGGUAUGUAAAGCUCUAUCAGCAGGGAAGAAAAUGACGGUACCUGACUAAGAAGCCCCGGCUAACUACGAGCCAGCAGCCGCGGUAAUACGUAGGGGGCAAGCGUUAUCCGGAAUGACUGGGUGUAAAGGGUGCGCAGGUGGUUUGGUAAGUCAGAUGUGAAAAUCCAGGGCUCAACUUUGGAACUGCAUUGGAAACUGCCCGUCUUGAGUGCCGGAGAGGUAAGCGGAAUUCCUAGUGUAGCGGUGAAAUGCGUAGAUAUUAGGAGGAACACCAGUGGCGAAGGCGGCCUACUGGGCACCAACUGACGCUGAGGCUCGAAAGUGUGGGUAGCAAACAGGAUUAGAUACCCUGGUAGUCCACACCGUAAACGAUGAUUACUAGGUGUUGGAGGAUUGACCCCUUCAGUGCCGCAGUUAACACAAUAAGUAAUCCACCUGGGGAGUACGACCGCAAGGUUGAAACUCAAAGGAAUUGACGGGGGCCCGCACAAGCAGUGGAGUAUGUGGUUUAAUUCGACGCAACGCGAAGAACCUUACCAAGUCUUGACAUCCCUUGACGAUGCUGGAAACAGUAUUUCUCUUCGGAGCAAGGAGACAGGUGGUGCAUGGUUGUCGUCAGCUCGUGUCGUGAGAUGUUGGGUUAAGUCCCGCAACGAGCGCAACCCUUAUGGUCAGUUACUACGCAAGAGGACUCUGGCCAGACUGCCGUUGACAAAACGGAGGAAGGUGGGAUGACGUCAAAUCAUCAUGCCCUUUAUGACUUGGGCUACACACGUACUACAAUGGCGUUAAACAAAGAGAAGCAAGACCGCGAGGUGGAGCAAAACUCAGAAACAACGUCCCAGUUCGGACUGCAGGCUGCAACUCGCCUGCACGAAGUCGGAAUUGCUAGUAAUAAUGGAUCAGCAUGCCACGGUGAAUACGUUCCCGGG